CACAUGUAGAUCUACGUGUACACAACUCUGGCUCUUUGGCUACGGCCUGUUGCAGGACAGGUAUAUAGGUCUACAUCACUGUGGAUAUUCCCAAGAGAGACUCUGAGUAACCACGUACUGACUGAUACAAGUCUAGGAUUGAUCCCACACUUGUACACUGUACUGCUGGUAUACAAACAUGUCUUACUCUAACGGAGCAUCACUCUCAAAUGCUAAGACUCACCAUCGCCACGGUAACCCUGUGAGUGACUCGGAGUUCAGUGAUUGGUUCGAUUCUGACGGGAGACUAGUGAAUGAGGCGGCCAUGAGAGAGGCUCUCUUCCGCUUGGGUGUGUCCUCUCCAUGUCGUCCCUGUCUCUGGAAGUUCCUGUUUGAAAUAUACCCCCUCAACUCAACAAGACGUGACCAGAGAACCAUCGACCUGGAGAACAGAGCUAACUACCUGGCACUUCGACAACGCUGGCAAAUCCUCGAUAAUACAAUGCAAUCCCCCGAAACAACCAUCCAUGACCAACCCUCGUAUCUAGAACUGAGCGACGAUGAAAUAGUUAAUCAAUCCCGAUCAAAUUCCCCCUCCUCCAAUGAAAAAUCCCCUGUCACAAAUGAUGAAUCUCCGACCAAUGAUGAUACAGGUUCGAUAGAGGCCAGUUUGGACUGCAGUGGAGAAAUGUGUAGCCGAUGUCACAAGAUGAUAGCCUCGGGCUCUUUAAGUAACUCUGUAACUACAAACAGUGAAAGCGGAUUUUCAGAAGCUUCAAACACGACAUUCUCCUCAUGUACUUGUACAAAAAGUGACCAAUCAAAAAGUUCUGAAAAUGAUGGAGUUACAUGUAGGCGCACAACUGUUGAUCUGUCUGCAUCCUCUGAAAAUGAGUCUGGGUGCGAGACUAAUAUUCAACCUACAACCUCAAGUACUAAUGGUUCAACUUUAUCCCCGAGCGAUGGCAGCGGGUGUCAGAGUGUUGAUCAGAGCUCGUGCAGUUGCAGUCGGUCAGUUGGGGAGACUAGCAACGAGUGUGGCAUCUGUCAGGAGAGGGAGGAAGGUGUGAAGAAGUGCGUGUGUGAGUUCAAGAGCAGCUGUGAGAACUUGAGUCAAGACGAUGAGGCUUUGUUGAAGAUCCUCGAUUUCCCUUCUCGGGUAUACGCAGCUCGCCGGCCUGUCCAGUUAGAGACCAGCUAUCCCAAGGCCAGGAGAAUAGUUCUCAGAGAUGUGGCCAGAACUGACAGGAACUAUCACUACUUCACUCACAAGCGCAACCUGAGGAAGGUCCACAGAAUACUCCUCACCUACGCCAUGUUUCACCCGGAGGUUGGCUAUGCCCAGGGCAUGAACGACAUCCUGGCCCGGUUCCUAGUGGUGACAGACUCGGAGGUUGACUCGUACUGGCUGUUUGCCAGCUACAUGUCCAAGAAGAGAGAGGACUUCCUCGAGCACACCAUGAUGAGGAAAGUUGCAUUUGUGAAGAACCUGGUGAGGGAGGUGGAUAGAGAGUUGUACAGCUUCUUUGACAAGUCUGAUUGUCGUGACUACCUCUUUUGUCACAGAUGGCUGUUAUUAGACUUCAAGAGGGAAUUUCCCUUCGAGGAGGCCCUGAGGAUAUUUGAGGUGCUCAACAGUCAGUACCUGGAGCUCAACUCUGACCGGGCUCUCGUGGUAACAGACAAGGUCAUCGCCAAGGAGUUUGAAAUGGAUGCUGGUGAGACCCGCUCUGAGAGGUCAGAGGUCAACCUGGAGUUCACGUUUGAUGUUUUUGUGUGUGUGGCAAUUCUGACAAUGAACAGUAAUGACAUUUGCAAGGCUUCUGAUGCUGCUGGAAUCUAUGGCUGUCUCAACGGACUCUCCAUGAAGAUGAAUCUGACUGAAGUACUGACACAGGCAGAGGAACUGUUUUACAAGUAUUGUAGACAGAACAUCACUAGGGGAUUUGCUGAGAUAGACUUGUAGUUUGAUUAUUACUGUUGUUUUAAUCGUAUUUUUUCUCAUCUGCCUUAUAUCUACGUAUACAGUGCAUGUCUUUUUAAGCCAAGCUAAAAAAUCCUAUAAACGUAUUAGUUGGCCUAUAAUUAUAGGCAUUAAUAACCAAUAAUUAUGCAAAAAAGUUGCCUAUAAUUUAAGAAUGUAUUCCGAGGCUAUAUUCUAAUGUUCAUGGUUCUGUUUAUUAUUCCAACAUAAUUAUGCUUUCAAUUGUAAGUGCGCUUAUCUUGGAUAGAGAAUCUCAAAGAACGUUCUUGUAUCAUAAAAAGAAUAUAAUUUUAUAUACAUAAAAAUAGGGGGAAAAUUUGAUCUUUUAUAAUGCAGACGACAGUGGCUGGCAUGCCCUGGCCCAAUUAGCUUGCUGGGGUUUUUAUCAGACAUUGUAGAUCUAGAACAAAGAUUAAACCAUGCACCCCCUAAUCACAUGCAUGCACCUCUAAAAGUAUGAUUGUAUGCCUAGAAUAUAUGGCAUAUAUAAUAUGCUCAUGGCAUGCAUGCAGAGCUAAUAUAAUUAUAUAUACUACAUGUCCUUAUUAUUCUAUUGGAUGGUCAUCACCUAAGCUAAUAACAUCUUCCAGAACACACUAUUUAUUGUACUUACAUAAUUAUAGUAAUUAGUAGUAACCAUGGUUGCUGCCCAUAUUGACCUGUAACAAUGUGGUUGAUCUUUACAAAUCCCUUUAGAGUUUUGUCUGUAGCAAUGGUUAAUAUUCGUUAAAUGAUAUCUCUUUUCUCCAUAGAAUUUCCCUUCGAGGAGGCCCUGAGGAUAUUUGAGGUGCUCUCUCCCCAACAGCUCCAGCUCUCGCCCGUGCUCAACAGUCAGUACCUGGAGCUCAACUCUGAUAGGGCUCUCGUGGUAACAGACAAGGUCAUCGCCAAGGAGUUUGAAAUGGAUGCUGGGAGACCCGCUCUGAGAGGUCAGAGGUCAACCUUGAGUUCACGUUUGAUGUUUUGGUAUUGUUACAACAGUUGUCUACGAAUUUGCAUUGUAUCCAUUCAUAAGAAACAAAGUACCCAGCUCUAUGCGACGAAUUGGAGACGUUCGUGUGUGUGGCGAUUCUGACAAUGAACAGUAAUGACAUUUGCAAGGCUUCUGAUGCUGCCGGAAUCUAUGGCUGUCUCAACGGACUCUCCAUGAAGAUGAAUCUGACUGAAGUGCUGACACAGGCAGAGGAACUGUUUUACAAGUAUUGUAGACGGAACAUCACUAGGGGAUUUGCUGAGAUAGACUUGUAGUUUGAUCAUUAUUUUAAUCGUAUAUUUUUCUCUCAUCGCGUUAUAUCUACUUACAGUGCAUGUCUUUUUAAGACACACUUCAUUAUGGUCUAAGGAAUUGUAUGGAUGUAUUAAA